rnacentral:rRNA from 1 species
GUACACGCUGUGACUAGCAUAUCAAUAAGCGGAGGAAAAGAAACUAACAAGGAUUCCCCUAGUAACGGCGAGUGAAGCGGGAAGAGCUCAAAUUUGAAAUCUUAAAGGGUUUCCCUUUACGAAUUGUAGUUUAAAGAAGUGUUUUCUGUUGAGGUUUUGGUAAAAGUUCUUUGGAAUAGGACAUCAUAGAGGGUGAGAAUCCCGUAUUUGACCUUUACUUUCAACUUUGUGAUACACUUUCAAAGAGUCGGAUUGUUUGGGAAUGCAGUCCAAAAUGGGUGGUAAAUUUCAUCUAAAGCUAAAUAUUGGCGAGAGACCGAUAGCGAACAAGUACCGUGAGGGAAAGAUGAAAAGAACUUUGAAAAGAGAGUUAAACAGUACGUGGAAUUGUCAAAAGGGAAGCGCUUGACACCAGUGUUGUUUUUCUGAAAAUCAAUUAAAGAACUGUUUAUGCUAAGUUGUUUAGACUUUAUCAGCUAUCUGUUUAGUUUUGAGCUUUUCUUUAAUGCACUUUUCAGUUAACAAGUCAACAUCAAUUUCUUUUGCUGUAAAAAGGCUUGAGGAAGGUGGCUUGAGAUUCGUCUUAAGUGUUUAUAGCCUCUUGCCUAUGCAGUCGGAGAGAUUGAGGUCUGCAGCGUAGAUCCUUCGGGGCUAAAUGCAUUUGUGCUAAGUUAUAGCAUUUUAUAGACAACUUGUUGACUAUGAUUUGUCUUGUAGCUUACUCGCUUAUGUUAUUUUACCUACGCUUAGGAUGUUGAGUCGUAGAGCACGCAG